rnacentral:rRNA from 1 species
GACGAACCGUGCGAACGUUGUUCGGAUUCACUGGGCUUAAAGGGCGCGUAGGCGGGCGGUCAAGUCAGGGGUGAAAUCUUUCGGCUCAACCGGAAAAGUGCCUUUGAUACUGGCCGUCUCGAGGGAGGUAGGGGCAUGCGGAACUUCCGGUGGAGCGGUGAAAUGCGUAGAUAUCGGAAAGAACACCAACGGCGAAAGCACUCUGCUGGGCCGACACUGACACUGAGAGACGAAAGCUAGGGGAGCGAAUGGG